rnacentral:lncRNA from 1 species
GGCGAAAAACUACUUGGAUCUCUCCAGGUUCAUCCUUGAUUUUGCAGAGAAUAAGGCUAGAGAGGGACAAAAGGUCAUGUUGCAAAUUGCAAAAGAACAUCCUACUGUACGCAUUAAUUUAUGUGCAAAUCAUUUUUAUGAAGGAACUAUCACAUCAUUUAUAAGUGCAAAGGAUGAAUUGAUUAGCCCAUUCAAUGUAUAAUAAGAUAGUAAAUAUAAACCAAUAAGACGUUGGUAUAGUAGUGUAAGACUCACUAGAUUCCUGGGAGAUCAAAAGGUUUGAGCUUUCGAUUCAUGUGAACGACACUCGUUGGAAGAAGUCUUACACUACUAUACCAAAAAGAGAGCAAAUAUGAUAAAACAUCCACAACCGUGAGAUUACUUCCAAGAUAUCCAUCAAACAAGCUUGCUAAUGGGUCCAAAUUGACAUGAGGAGAUAAUACUUCAUUUGCCGCAAACCCAAAACAUAUUACUUUUUUACCAACUAUCCAUAUUCAGCCUUUGCCACUCAUAAUAUUCACUGAACACGUCCUCAACCUUUCUCAUUGUGUUCAUAUAUCUUCUCUCCUAUAUAUAUAUAUAUAUAUAUAUAUAUAUAUAUAGGAGAGAAGAUAUAUGAAUUCAUCAAUCACUCACCAUUUUUCCACAACAAGGAAAGAUGAAUACCUCAAAAGUGUCAUGAUUGUUAUUUACUAUUUCAAUGAUCCUCAUUUCUCAUUUUCUAAUGGCAGCAUCAGGUGAGAGAUUAUACGAAGGUAUUUGCAGAGAGACGAAGAACCCAAAUUGUGUACCACUUUUGAAAGAUGAUCCUCGAAUCACAUCGGCGAAAAACUAUUUGGAUCUCUCCAGGUUCACCCUUGAUUUUGUAGAGAAGAAGGCUAGAUAGGGAAAAAACUACAUGUUGCAAAUUGAAAAAGAACAUCCUAUUGUACACAUUAAUUUAUGUGCAAAUAAUUUUUAUGAAGCAACUAUCACAUCAUUCAUAAGUGCAAAGGGUUAAUUGAUUGAGGAUCCAAUGACAAAAACAUAUGAUGCCAAAGUCGCUGGUGAUGGACCUGAAUAUUGUGCAGAAGCUUUUAUAACAACCAAUAUAGAGAAUCCUCCAUUAAACAAGAGGGUGUCUUUAGUUGGUAUUAAUCCAUUUUAUGCUACAUACCACUUAGACUAGUUAUUUACUAACAACGCAUUCUACAUUAUCGUAUGUUGGUGUAUGCAAUGUAGGUAUAAGCAAAUCAAUAAAAUAUUUAUCCAAUAAUUUUGUUUUGGUAUCUUCCUUUUUGCUAUCGAUGUGAGAAGUUGAUUCACCACAAACUCUUUGCUAUUAAUUAACUUUAAUUAAACUAAAAUAAUUUAUAUCAAAUGCUCUUAAUUAGACAACUAAUGGAAUUUUAAUAGUACAAUCACAACUGAUAUUGUAUCUUUUUUUUCCUUUCUCAAAGUUAGAAGUCUAUUCAUGAUUGAAUAGAGUUUGUAGUGCUCAAUAUCUUAUUAAAAAUCAUAAGAAUCUUCACUAAUUCGUUUGUUAGUUUACCGUGUAAAAUUUUAUUACUUAGAUCACACUAAAAUAUCUAUAAGUAAUUUCGAUUUUUUUUAGGGAAAGGUGCAACUAUACCCAAUUUAUAAUAUUAAACAGGAACAUACAAAAGACAAAGCAGACAAAAUACAUUUUGUUGAACCUAUAUGUAGGAAGUCCUAGUCUAUUUCUAUUGUACUCUUCCUGUAUGAAAAUCGGAAUUUGGCUCCAAUAUGUGUUUUGCCUUGUUUCGAAAGCAUAGUUGGCCAAUUUAUCAGCACAACCAUUUUCUCCCCUAAAGAUGUGAGAGAUAUGAAAAUUCAUUAAGUUCAACUUGGUUUUAUAAAUAGUCUACUCAUUGCUGAUUUUCUAUGGUGGCUUUGCUCUUCCUUGAAAGAUAUCCACAACUGUGAUUGAGUCACACUCAAGCCACAAAUUUGUCCAAUCAUAAUUAUAAACCAAGUUAAUUGCAUUGAUUGCUGCAAAAAGCUUUGCACAGAUUGCUUGUUGUAUGAUUAGAUAGGAUGCAGAGCAAGCUAAGUAGGUCCUAGAGUUAUUAUGAAAAUUCCACAUGCACCCACAAGGUCAGGAGAACCUUUAGCUGCCCCAUCCGUGAUUGCUUUUAUCCAACCCUCCUUUGGUACUUUCCAAACCACUUUAAUGAUUCUUGGAGCCUUUCUAAGCUUUAAAGGAAUUUUAAAUUUUCUUAGCAUAAGAAGAUCACUGACAUUACAAGUGGCACAUGCUAUUUGUGAGCAAUUUCCAGCCAUUGAAGUGUCUCUCUUGAUUUUUGAGAUUGCUUGGCUAUGAGAUAUUUUCUUAUCUACAAAUCUAAUAUGAUUUCUACAAUACGAGAUUGUGGAAAUGGGGUGCACCACACAAGCAGAUAAAACCUCCUUCAACUGGUUUGAGAAGUGAUUGUUGCAGACCAAUAUGAUAGAAUGUAUAGACCGGGUGUUUAGCCUUAUAUAGAAAGUAUCUUGAACCCAUAAUCAUAAAGGCACUACAAAUCUACACUGAAAAAACUUAUGGUCGGUGUUCUCCUGAGUAGCAUUGCAAAGAUUACACUUUGAAGCUAACAUCAUGCCUCUCUUUUAUAGGUUUUCAUCAGUAAGAAUUUUCCUUAGCAUAAUCCCCCAGGUAAUGAAAGAUUUUGAAGGGGGAAUAGCCAAGGACCAGAUCUGGUUGCACCUGCUUAGCUUAGAGAGAUUGUUAGUAACUUGAGCAAAAGCAACCUUGGAAGCAAGGACGUCAUCAUUAGAAUUCUGCCAGACAAACCUGUCAAGGUUAUUGGCUCUGGUGAUGUUUAGGAUUUUAGUGACCAACUCAGGGAAUAACCUGUUUAGAGGCCAUGUGAUUAACCACUUUCCAUCAAUGAUAAAGUCAACCAUCUUAGCUUUCAUCUGAGAAUGAAAUUCACGAGGGAUUUGGAGAUAAUCAACUAAAGGGUCACAAAUCCAAUUGUCUCUCUAGAAAUUAAUAUGGUUGCCAUCUCUCACAACCAGAUGGAAUUCUCAUUUGCCUUGAACCAGUUGUCCUUGAUUCCAUGCCAAACCGAGGACUGUAAAUGCCUACAAGCAGGAGUACUGUUAGCACAAAACCUCUCUCUAUAGAAGAUAUCCCAAUUUUGAUUAGAGGUCCUCAUGUCCCAGGCCAGCUUUAACAAAUCAACAUUGUUCAUCACCUUGAUUUACCUGAUCCCCAAUCCUUAUUGCUUAAGAGGAGAACAUACUUUGUGCCAAGCCACAAUGACCAUUUUCCUUAUCCCAACUUCUCCUGCCCAUAUAAAAUUCCUCAUACCUCUGUCCACAUAAUUAAGUAGUUGCACUGGCCACUUAUAAAUGUGGAAGCUAUAGACUAACAUGCUCUGGACUAUGGACCUAACUAACUCCAUUCUACCCAUUAUGGACAAAUAUGAGCCUUUCCAAGUUGCCAACUUAGUUGUUAUUCUAUCUGCUAUAGGUUGCAGAUGUAUUUUCUUAGGUUUACCCUUAAAUAGAGGCACACCGAGAUAAUUUUCUAACAGACACCCUACAGAAAAACCCAAGUAUGAAGACAAUGAACCAAUCCUCCUAGGAUUAGUAUUAGUAACAUAAGUAAUUAUGAUUUAAUUAUAUAAAUGAUUAACUAAAUAAAUAAUUAUUAAAAAAUUAUAUGUAUGUAAUUAAAUAAAUAAUUAUAAAAUUACUAAUUUUAUAAAAUUCCUAAUAUUUAUAUGAGUAUAAAAUUAGAUAUAAUUUUACCAAAAAGCUAAUAAUUAUUUAUUUAGUAAUAAUCUACAUAUUUGAUUAGCCUAAUUAAUAAUUAUAAAUUAAUUAAUUAGACACUAAAUAAAUAAGAAGGUCGUUUUUAGCAAUGUAAAUCAGUUUAGAUAGUUUAUGAAACAACUCUAAUACGAUAAGCUACCUAUACGCAAUUGCAAGUUCCAACUAAUGAUUAUAAGUCAGUUUUAUCAAAUAAACCAAUCGAUAUUCAUGGAAAACAUCCUCAAUCCUUCUCAUCGUGGUGAUAUAUCUCCUCUCCUAUAUAUAUAUGGGGUAUCCACUUGAUUAAUCAAUCACUCCCCAUCUUUUUAAGAACAAGAAAAAAUGAAUACCUUAAAAGUUUCAUGCUUGUUAUUUACUGUUUCAAUGAUCCUCAUUUCUCACUCUCUAAUGGCAGCAUCUGGGGAAAGCUUAUACGAAGGUGUUUGUAGAGAGACGAAGAACCAGGAUUGUGUACCACGUUUAAAAGAUGAUCCUCAAAUCACAUUGCAGAAAAACUACUUGGAUCUCUCGAGGUUCAUCCUUGAUUUUGCAGAGAAGAAGGCUAGAGAUGGAAAAGAGUACAUGUUGCAGAUUACAAUAGAACAUCCUACUAUACGUAUUAAUUUAUGUGCAAAUCAUUUUUAUGAAGCAACUAUCACAUCAUUCAUAAGUGCAAAGGGUGAAUUGAUUGAGGAUCCAAUGACAGCAACAUAUGAUGCCAAAGUCGCUGGUGAUGGAC